rnacentral:piRNA from 1 species
GGGACAGUGUGUCUUUCAGGACGUUCUGCC